CUCUCAGAAAGCCAUCUUCAGUCUCAACACAACCCUCAAACUCAACCAAAUCACCUUACUCUCCUUCAAAUUGAUCCAGUUUUCCGACUAAUCACAAACCGCAACCACCCAUUCACGUACAAGAGAGAGAGGGAGCGAACGGAAGGGGAUCCGGCCAUGGCCUACGGUAGGCCGCCCACCGUGUUUCGGUGACCGUCUCUGUCUUUUGCCCCCUUUUUCCAGCGGCGAUGAGUGUGGUUGAUAUACCAGAUGUUAAUGGUGAUGGUGGCGACCAUACCAGUAGCGCCUAGGGUUCCUGCAGAACUCCGGCAAGUCAGAUUUGUCAUGCUUGUCCCAUUUUGGCGUAGAUCGGCAAACGCGUAGGUACCGAUCGUGUGGUAAGCUCCGACCGCAACUCUGGUUUCUGGUAGGUUAGAUGCUCUACGAAUCUCAUAAAAGUCGUCAAAGGUGGUUGUUAUAAGCGUCAAAGAAUGUUGUUUUAAGAAUCUUGGUCACUUUUUGAACAAAAUUACAAACCGCUGUGUUAUUUUUAUACAAAUAGUUAUGUUUGAGUUAUCUUGUAUGGGUCUAUGAUGAUUUGUUUUUGUUCUUAUGCUUGUGUAUUUAUGUUGUAUGGCUGGGCUAAUAUUAUGUUAGCCGAUCCUUGGAUUUUUUUUCUUGGUAAUAAAUGGUGUUUUUUGUUGGACGUUAAUAAAAGUUAUGUUAUAAUGUUAGAAAAGAAUUAGAUUUUGAGAAAAUUGUAGAGUAUGACCAUGAUGUUUUACCCUGAAAAAAAAAAGACAUGGCUAUGCUCAUGAUAGCCAUCCCCAGCACCGUCCCAGUCAGUCGACCUCAUUUUGGCCUUUUGGGAGCGCUACUUUUGGUUUGUCAUCUUCUUCAUCAGGUCCGACUGUUUAUGUUUGUGAGUUGCCGCUGUUUCAUAGCUUCUUACUCAGGUCCAAGAUGUAUAGAUGGCAUUUUUCUUGGGCACACCACAAACUUUCUAAAAUUGCCUGCUGCUUCCAAGGUGUAUAGAUGGCAUUUUGAAACUCAAAUCUUCCAUGAAAGGAACCAACUUCAAGUGACUGAUUAGUUUAUAACAUUACAAAGAUCUGGAACAGGCUGGGUAUAUGAUUCAGAAAUAUAUUUCAAAACAAGAAGCCGGUUGGGUUAACCUACAACCUUUAGACUUUUAUGUUUAGUACAUCAUUUCCUGUUAAUAGAAAAGCAUACCCGCCGCGAAGCGCGGGCGUCAUCUACUAGUUGUAUACUAAUAAAAGAUAAAGUGAAUAAACAGUACAUUUGUUUUUAAGCUUUUUUUUAUAUGUGGUAUUUAGUGGUUUUUUACAUGUA